rnacentral:lncRNA from 1 species
UUUUUACAAUAUUAAUUUUUCCAACCCAGGAACACGGAAUAUCUUUCCAUUUCUUGUACAUCUUCUUUAAUUUUCUUGAUUAAUGUUUUAUAGUUCUCGGCAUAUACUUACUUCCUUUGCCUCCUUGGUCAUGUGUAUUCCCAGGUAUUUGAUUUUUUGGGAUGUAAUUUUAAAAAGUAUUGUAUUUUUGUAUUCCUUUUCUAAAGUUUCAUUGUUAGUAUAUAGAAAUGCAACUGACUUCUGAAUAUUAAUCUAUAUCCUGCUAAUUUGCUGAAUUUGUUGACCAGUUCAAGUAGUUUUUGGGUUGAGUCCUUAGGGUUUUCUAUGUAUAGUAUAAUGUCAUCCACAUACAGUGAAAGUUUUACCUCUUCUCUUCCUAUUUGAAUGCCUUUUAUUUCUUUUGUUUGUCUGAUUGCUGUGGCUAGGACUUCCAGUACUGUGCUGAAUAGCAGUGGUGAGAGUGGGCAUCCCUGUCUUGUUCCAGAUUUGAGAGAGAAGGCUUUCAAUUUUUCCCCAUUGAGUAUAAUAUUUGCUGUGGGUUUGUCAUAAAUGGCUUUGAUUAUGUUAAGGAAUGUUCCCUCUCUACCCACUUUGGCGAGGGUCUUGAUCAUGAAUGGAUGUUGGACUUUGUCAAAUGCUUUUUAUGCAUCUAUUGAGAUGAUCAUAUGGUUUUUGACUUUUCUUUUGUUAAUGUGGUGUAUGACGUUGAUUGAUUUGUGUAUGUUGAAUCAUCCUUCUACACCUGUGAUGAAUCCCACCUGGUCAUGGCAUAUGAUCUUUUUGAUAUGUUGUUGGAUUUGGAUGGCUGAAAUUUUGUUGAGAAUUUUUGUGUCUAUAUUAAAAUAUAUUGGCCUAUAGUUUUCUUUUUUUGGUUGUAAUUUUGUCUGGUUUUGAAAUUACAGUGAUGGUGGCAUCGUAGAAUGUCUUUGGGAGUGUUCCUUCUUCUUCAAACUUUUGAAAAAGCUGUAAGCAGGAGGCAUAACUCUCCCAGACCUCAGGCAAUGUUACAAAGUCAUGGUCAUCAAGACCACGUGGUACUGGUACCAAAACAGACAGACCGACCAAUGGAACAGAGUAGUGAACCCAGAAAUAAACCCAGGCACCGACGGUCAAUUAAUCUUUGACAAAGGAGGCAAGAACAUAAAAUGGGGAAAAGACAGUCUUCUCGGCAAAUAUCGUUGGGAAACCUGGACUGCUGGAUGCAAAUCAAUGAAACUAUAACACACCCUCACACCAUGCACCAAAAUAAACUCAAAAUGGCUGAAAGACUUCAAUAUAUGACAAGACACCAAACUCCUGGAAGAGAACAUAGGCAAAACAUUCUCUGACAUCAACAUCAUGAAUAAUUUCUUGGGUCAGUCUCCCAAAGCAACAGAAAUAGAAGUAAAAAUAAACCAAUGGGACCUAAUCAAACUGACAAGCUUUUGCACAGCAAAGGAAACCAAAAAGACAAUUUACAGGAUGGGAGAAAAUUGUUUCUAAUGAUGCAAUGGACAAGGGCUUAAUCUCUAGAAUAUACAAGCAACUUACACAACUCAACAGCAAAAAAGCCAACAGCCCAAUGGAAAAAAUGGGCAAAAGACCUGAAUAGACAUAUCUCCAAGGAAGAUAUACAGAUUCCCAGAAAGCACAUGAAAAAAUGCUCAAAAGCCCUGAUUAUUAGAGAAAUGCAAAUCAAAACUACUAUGAGAUACCACCUCACAGUAGUCAGAAUGGCCAUUAUUAAAAAGUCCACAAAUAACAAGUGCUAGAGGGGUUGUGGAGAAAAGAGAACCCUCCUGUCUUGUUGGGGGGAAUGUAAGCUUGUACAGCCACAAUGGAUAACAGUAUGGAGAUAUCUUAGAAAACUAUACAUAGAACUACCAUAUGACCCAGCAAUCCCACCCUUGGACAUAAAUCUAGACAAAACUUUCCUUAAAAAAGACACAUGCACCCACAUGUUCAUUGCAGCUCUAUUCAUAAUCAGCUCUAUUCAUAAUAUCCAAGAGCUGGAAACAACCCAAAUGUCCAUCAACAGAUGACUGGUAUAUAGACACAAUGGAAUACUACUCAGCCAUCAAAAAGAAUGAAAUAAUGCCAUUUGCAGAAACAUGGAUGGAACUAGUGACUCUCAUCCUGAGUGAAGUAAGUCAGAAAGAGAAAGACAAAUACCUUAUGAUAUCAUUCAUAUCUGGAAUCUAAUAUAGGGCACAAACGAACCUUCCCACAGUAAAGAAAAUCAUGGACUUGGAGAAUAGACUUGUGGUUGCCCAGGGGAGGGAGUGGGAGGGAUUGGUAGCUUCAGGUUAACAGAUGCAAACUAUUGCUUUUGGAAUGGAUUAACAGUGAGAUCCUGCU